rnacentral:rRNA from 1 species
ACGAACGCUGGCGGCGUGCUUCACACAUGCAAGUCGAACGGAAAGGCCCUGCUUUUGUGGGGUGCUCGAGUGGCGAACGGGUGAGUAACACGUGAGUAACCUGCCCUUGACUUUGGGAUAACUUCAGGAAACUGGGGCUAAUACCGGAUAGGAGCUCCUGCUGCAUGGUGGGGGUUGGAAAGUUUCGGUGGUUGGGGAUGGACUCGCGGCUUAUCAGCUUGUUGGUGGGGUAGUGGCUUACCAAGGCUUUGACGGGUAGCCGGCCUGAGAGGGUGACCGGCCACAUUGGGACUGAGAUACGGCCCAGACUCCUACGGGAGGCAGCAGUGGGGAAUAUUGCACAAUGGGCGGAAGCCUGAUGCAGCAACGCCGCGUGCGGGAUGACGGCCUUCGGGUUGUAAACCGCUUUCGCCUGUGACGAAGCGUGAGUGACGGUAAUGGGUAAAGAAGCACCGGCUAACUACGUG